AACAGGCCUCAAAGCACUGUGCUCUAUCUGCCCUCCCUACACAAAGUGGUUAAUUGGGGCCUUUUCCUCUCCUGUGGCCUGAUGAGGCAUCGUCAGAGACUGUGGUCCAUACCAGUUGUUCCUGAAAAAGUCUGGCUGAGUGCUCACCACAUAGCUGAGAAGAGAACAGGAAACAGGAGUGGGACCUGAUACGGAACUGCAACUCCUAUUAAUGGCUGUGAAGUGCCCAGGAUGUCAUAAAAUCAACCCAGUCUUCAGCCAUAAACAAAGGGCAGUCUCAUGUGUUGGCUGCUGUACUGCCCUGUCAGCCUACAGAAGGAAAAGCAAGGCUGACCUCGCCUGCAGGACAUAGCACUCAAAGCACCUUGGUUCAAGAUGAGUGGGGAAUUAUCCCAAUAAACACAUCAUGAAUUUAAAAAGAACAGCAUUGCUUCAAAUGAGAUAAAUUUUAAAUAUAUAUUUUGGU
rnacentral:lncRNA from 1 species